GAAAAUUUUGAGCCUUUUCUGGUGGCGAAGCGUCCUCCAAGGGGAAGGAGCUCGCCGAUCAGUGAGUGCGUCUCAGGACGAGACGACUGGUUCUACUGCGACGUUGGACAGAGUUGUGCUGUGCAGCAGUAGAGUGGUCUAUCUGUACUUCUUGUUUAGGUUUGUUAUAGUAUGCAUGACCCUUUAUGGAUCCACUAGACUUGACCUUAUAU